AAAACGGUGGUAUUAACCACCACCAAUGGCACAAAGGCAUUGCAU
rfam:Pedobacter sp. BMA contig06, whole genome shotgun sequence.